GAGCAACAGGACGGUGAGAGCAUGACAGGCAAGUGGAGAAGGACAGCAUCUGGGACGUCAGGAGGACAAUCUGCACUCGCCAACAUGUUGUUGCCUCUUGUGAGAGUUUCUAGUUUCCUUGCAGAGUUUGUGAGAGGAGAUGGAAGAGAGAAGAGUUAACGGCAGCACGGCUAAGAAAGAAGACUAAAGGUUUGCUUGUGGAAGGCAUAGUACCAGACAACGAUAGGGCUUGAACACAUCAGAUGAGUAGCAAAGGAAAAACAGCUAUUACUAUGACUUCACAUAGGAUUGGGUUGAUAGGACUAUUAUGAAUUCCACCAUAUCCAAAGACAGUCAUGAGGAGCCAUCUUCUAAUCUGGAGGAGAACGGAAGCACCCUCCCGGACAAACGAGACAGCAAAACAUAUCUCACAAGGAGAUCAGUGACAAUGAUACAAAGGACCCUCCAUGUAUGAGCUCUUUCUGUUGCAAGGAGUGUAUUUUGGUAACAAUCUGGAAAGCAGGUUUAUGAUGGAACCAUGAUAGCUACCAUAACAAUUCAGAGUGCUGCUACACAGCAAGGGAAAUGUGAAUUUACUCACAUCCACUUGCUGUGAAGUCACACCAGGGGAUCCAAGUCUGUUCAAUUUAAGUAACUACACAGGGAGACAGAAGAAAAGCUUUGUUUAGUCCUUGUUUGAAACUCGAUAGGAGGCACAGUUAAAAGGAACUGCCUAUCAAGCUGUAACAAGGGUUUCCUCCUCUCAUUUCCUCCUCUUGUUAGCUGUGUGUGUGUGUUUACGUCCCUUAGUGCAUCUGUACUGGCACUUUGAUAAUAUUUCCUGGUCCUGCAAUGCAGGAAAAAAGCAUCUUCCUGAGAGAGGCUUUGCUUGCCUUCAGAAAAAAAAGUAUGUGAAGACUUUCCAAGAAAGGCCUUAUUUUAUGCUAGGAAGGAAGGGAAGGAGAGAAACGGAAAAGAAAGGAAGGAGUUGGUGGUCUUUGCUUGCUUUUCUUGACUGUGAGCCGGCACAAUGACUUUUCUGCAUUGGUUCAAGAAAUCUCAUGGCUGAAUCAUUGUGAAUUGAUAAGAAGCCCCAGCAGUGGAGGGGAAAAGUAGAUGGGGAGGGGGGAGAGACUCCAGGCUGAUUCUCAUUUCCCUUUGCAUUGUGUAAUUAACAUAAAAAAUGCAAAUCAUGCUGCCCCAAAUCCAUAGCACAGAGUGCAUUAAAGGAUAGCCAUAGAACUAAGAAUGCAGGUGCAUUGUGUGUGGGGGGUAGUAGCAGUAAAAAGUGGUUUAGCCACGGUCAUUGCCAAUGGAUUGGAAGGAUCUGGCCCUUGUUGCCAUGCCCAGGGUAAUACUGAUCGCCGCUUCCGGGGUCGGGAAGGAAUUUUCCUCCAGAUCAGAUUGGCCAGAGAUCCUGGAGGUUUUUCGCCUUCUUCUGGGCAUCCAACAUCGGUUAUACAUAUUAAUCUUAUAUGGAUUUUAGAGUAACAACAUAUUUGACAACUGAACUCGUCAAAUAACAAUACCAUCUUAACAGAAAAUUAAUAAAAAUCACCAAUC